rnacentral:rRNA from 1 species
CUAUACAUGACUCUGCGCAUAUCAAUAAGCGGAGGAAAAGAAACUAACAAGGAUUCCCCUAGUAACGGCGAGUGAAGCGGGAAGAGCUCAAAUUUGAAAUCUUAAAGGGUUUCCCUUUACGAAUUGUAGUUUAAAGAAGUGUUUUCUGUUGAGGUUUUGGUAAAAGUUCUUUGGAAUAGGACAUCAUAGAGGGUGAGAAUCCCGUAUUUGACCUUUACUUUCAACUUUGUGAUACACUUUCAAAGAGUCGGAUUGUGUGGGAAUGCAGUCCAAAAUGGGUGGUAAAUUUCAUCUAAAGCUAAAUAUUGGCGAGAGACCGAUAGCGAACAAGUACCGUGAGGGAAAGAUGAAAAGAACUUUGAAAAGAGAGUUAAACAGUACGUGAAAUUGUCAAAAGGGAAGCGUUUGACACCAGUGUUGUUUUUCUGAAAAUCAAUUAAAGAACUGUUUAUGCUAAGCUGUUUAGACUUUAUCAGCUAUCUGUUUAGUUUUGAGCUUUUCUUUAAUGCACUUUUCAGUUAACAAGUCAACAUCAAUUUCUUUUGCUGUAAAAAAGCUUGAGGAAGGUGGCUUGAGAUUCGUCUUAAGUGUUUAUAGCCUCUUGCCUAUGCAGUCGGAGAGAUUGAGGUCUGCAGCGUAGAUCCUUCGGGGCUAAAUGCAUUUGUGCUAAGUUAUAGCAUUUUAUAGACAACUUGUUGACUAUGAUUAGUCUUGUAGCUUACUCGCUUAUGUUAUUUUACCUACGCUUAGGAUGUUGAUCUACAGAGCGAGAGU